rnacentral:rRNA from 1 species
AAUAGAUACCCCGGUAGUCCACGCCGUAAACGAUGGAUACUAGCUGUUUGAGCGCAAGUUUGAGUGGCUAAGCGAAAGUGAUAAGUAUCCCACCUGGGGAGUACGGGCGCAAGCCUGAAACUCAAAGGAAUUGACGGGGGGCCCGCACAAGCGGUGGAGCAUGUGGUUUAAUUCGAUGAUACGCGAGGAACCUUACCAGGGCUUAAAUGUAGAUUGACGUAUUUGGAAACAGAUAUUUCUUCGGACAAUUUACAAGGUGCUGCAUGGUUGUCGUCAGCUCGUGCCGUGAGGUGUCAGGUUAAGUCCUAUAACGAGCGCAACCCCUGUUGUUAGUUGCCAGCGAGUAAUGUCGGGAACUCUAGCAAGACUGCCAGUGUAAACUGUGAGGAAGGUGGGGAUGACGUCAAAUCAUCACGGCCCUUACGUCCUGGGCCACACACGUGCUACAAUGGCCGGUACAGAGAGCAGCCACUUAGCGAUAAGGAGCGAAUCUAUAAAGCCGGUCACAGUUCGGAUCGGAGU